GUGGAAACAAAGAGUGUGAUGAGAGAAGAGAUAAACCAACUGCCAAAAGAAGAUGUUAAGAAAAAAGGAAAACAUAUUGAGGGAUAUUGUAAGGCAGACGAAGGUAAGGCGCUGAUAUGCGGAACAGAAGUGGAAAUGCAAACCGUUUCAACAGUUGGAAAAAGAACACGCAGUCGGUUGGAAAAAGACAUUAGAAAGAUAUCGGGCAGUAAAUUGAAGAUAUUAGAUGUUGCACCAAAACGUGUUG